AGACCACAGGCUAGUAGAUAGAAGCACUAGGCCUCAGAA
rnacentral:piRNA from 1 species